rnacentral:rRNA from 1 species
UACGAAGGGGGCUAGCGUUGUUCGGAAUUACUGGGCGUAAAGCGCAUGUAGGCGGAUAUUUAAGUCAGGGGUGAAAUCCCGCAGCUCAACUGCGGAACUGCCUUUGAUACUGGGUAUCUUGAGUAUGGAAGAGGUGAGUGGAAUUCCGAGUGUAGAGGUGAAAUUCGUAGAUAUUCGGAGGAACACCAGUGGCGAAGGCGGCUCACUGGUCCAUUACUGACGCUGAGGUGCGAAAGCGUGGGGAGCAAACAGGAUUAGAUACCCCCGUAGUCC